CUGGCUCGCAAUCUGGAACUUCACAUACCC
rnacentral:piRNA from 1 species